rnacentral:sRNA from 1 species
CUGGAACCUCUCGGGGUUACAGCCUUGCUGAAUUAUUCACCCUUGUCUUUUGCGUACUUCUUGUUUCCUUGGUGGGUUCGCCCACCACUAGGACAAACAUAAACCUUUUGUAAUUGCAAUCAGCGUCAGUAACAAAUUAAUAAUUACAACUUUCAACAACGGAUCUCUUGGUUCUGGCAUCGAUGAAGAACGCAGCGAAAUGCGAUAAGUAGUGUGAAUUGCAGAAUUCAGUGAAUCAUCGAAUCUUUGAACGCACAUUGCGCCCUUUGGUAUUCCAAAGGGCAUGCCUGUUCGAGCGUCAUUUGUACCCUCAAGCUUUGCUUGGUGUUGGGCGUCUUGUCUCUAGCUUUGCUGGAGACUCGCCUUAAAGUAAUUGGCAGCCGGCCUACUGGUUUCGGAGCGCAGCACAAGUCGCACUCUCUAUCAGCAAAGGUCUAGCAUCCAUUAAGCCUUUUUUUCAACUUUUGACCUCGGAUCAGGUAGGGAUACCCGCUGAACUUAAGCAUAUCAAUAAGCGGAGGA